AAGUCGUAACAAGGUUUCCGUAGGUGAACCUGCGGAAGGAUCAUUAAAGGGAACACCGGGGUUUCGUCCCCGUCCUCCCACCCAUGAAUACGCGAGGUCAAUCAUCGAGUUACUUCGGCGGAUCUUUUCGCCGCCGAGCAACACCACAAACUCUAAUUCGACGUGUCGUCUGAGCAAAAACACAAACGAAUCAAAACUUUCAACAACGGAUCUCUUGGUUCUG
rnacentral:misc_RNA from 1 species